rnacentral:rRNA from 1 species
CUCCAAGGCUAAAUACUCCUGACUGACCGAUAGUGAACCAGUACCGUGAGGGAAAGGCGAAAAGAACCCCGGCGAGGGGAGUGAAAAAGAACCUGAAACCGUGUACGUACAAGCAGUGGGAGCACGCUUCGGCGUGUGACUGCGUACCUUUUGUAUAAUGGGUCAGCGACUUAUAUUCUGUAGCAAGGUUAACCGAAUAGGGGAGCCGAAGGGAAACCGAGUCUUAACUGGGCGUUAAGUUGCAGGGUAUAGACCCGAAACCCGGUGAUCUAGCCAUGGGCAGGUUGAAGGUUGGGUAACACUAACUGGAGGACCGAACCGACUAAUGUUGAAAAAUUAGCGGAUGACUUGUGGCUGGGGGUGAAAGGCCAAUCAAACCGGGAGAUAGCUGGUUCUCCCCGAAAGCUAUUUAGGUAGCGCCUCGUGAAUUCAUCUCCGGGGGUAGAGCACUGUUUCGGCAAGGGGGUCAUCCCGACUUACCAACCCGAUGCAAACUGCGAAUACCGGAGAAUGUUAUCACGGGAGACACACGGCGGGUGCUAACGUCCGUCGUGAAGAGGGAAACAACCCAGACCGCCAGCUAAGGUCCCAAAGUCAUGGUUAAGUGGGAAACGAUGUGGGAAGGCCCAGACAGCCAGGAUGUUGGCUUAGAAGCAGCCAUCAUUUAAAGAAAGCGUAAUAGCUCACUGGUCGAGUCGGCCUGCGCGGAAGAUGUAACGGGGCUAAACCAUGCACCGAAGCUGCGGCAGCGACACUAUGUGUUGUUGGGUAGGGGAGCG